rnacentral:rRNA from 1 species
UACGUAGGGUGCAAGCGUUAAUCGGAAUUACUGGGCGUAAAGCGGGCGCAGGCGGUUUUGUAAGUCUGACGUGAAAGCCCCGGGCUUAACCUGGGAAUUGCGUUGGAGACUGCAAGGCUUGAAUCUGGCAGAGGGGGGUAGAAUUCCACGUGUAGCAGUGAAAUGCGUAGAGAUGUGGAGGAACACCGAUGGCGAAGGCAGCCCCCUGGGUCAAGAUUGACGCUCAUGCACGAAAGCGUGGGGAGCAAACAGG